rnacentral:rRNA from 1 species
UGGGGAAUUUUGGACAAUGGGCGAAAGCCUGAUCCAGCAAUGCCGCGUGUGUGAAGAAGGCCUUCGGGUUGUAAAGCACUUUUGUCCGGAAAGAAAUCCUUGGCUCUAAUACAGUCGGGGGAUGACGGUACCGGAAGAAUAAGCACCGGCUAACUACGUGCCAGCAGCCGCGGUAAUACGUAGGGUGCAAGCGUUAAUCGGAAUUACUGGGCGUAAAGCGUGCGCAGGCGGUUUGUUAAGACCGAUGUGAAAUCCCCGGGCUCAACCUGGGAACUGCAUUGGUGACUGGCAGGCUAGAGUAUGGCAGAGGGGGGUAGAAUUCCACGUGUAGCAGUGAAAUGCGUAGAGAUGUGGAGGAAUACCGAUGGCGAAGGCAGCCCCCUGGGCUAAUACUGACGCUCAUGCACGAAAAGCGUGGGGGAGCAAACAGGAUUAGAUACCCUGGUAGUCCACGCCCUAAAACGAUGUCAACUAGUUGUUGGGGAUUCAUUUCCUUAGUAACGUAGCUAACGCGUGAAGUUGACCGCCUGGGGAGUACGGUCGCAAGAUUAAAAACUUAAAUGAAUUGACGGGGUCAUAGCUGUUUCCU